CGGGCGCCGUUAGCGCCCUGGCAUCGCUGUUUUGUUGUUGGGUCACGAGUGCGCCUCUGCACGCAGGCGCCGCCGCCGCCCGGGAGUUGUGUGCAGAUUUGCACGGCUGGCCUCAGCGGGAGGCGCGGAAAUGCAAGCCGAGCCUGCUGGAGUGAAAGCCCCCGGGGCCUGGCACCCCCGAAAACGACCUCCCACCUUAAUCCCUGCCCCCAUCGCCCACGGCCCCCAUGGGCGACCCCUCUUCUUCCUCUUCCUUCAUUUACCCCACCUCGUUACCUACGUGGCUGACCCAAAUUCAAAGCAUUUUGUGUAUAUAUAAUUUUUUUUUUUCUUUUCUGCUAUGUCUUUUUUUGGGGGGGUGGCGGGGGUGGGGGGAGAAAUCCUCUCUAGAGCCGUAAGCGGAUCUGCCACACGGAGGAAGCAUUUGGGGGCUCAGGAAGAAAUUAGCGCAGCUCCAUACCUGUACGGACUACAUAACUUUUAAACUACUGGACUCAAAGGAUCCACAUACACACAGGUACAGGAAAUACAGUCAGACCAAAGCCUUUUCAGACCCAAGCUGACCGGAAGACGUUGCCUUUCAUUCAUUCAUUCUGCCCGCGUCUGUGGAGUCCUUUACUAGGCGAGAAGCCCUAGAAGAGAAGUUGGACGUUUUUUAAAGGUCCCUGCGCUCUCCAAGAAGAGGAAAUAGAUGCUCAGGAGUGAACUACCGAGAGAAUCGGAUCUGGCGCCUCCUAACGCAGCUGGCAAACAUGCGAAGGGAAAAAAAAGACCAGGCCAGUUGUAUUUGAAACAAAAUAAUAAUGACUUUUGGACCUUCUUGCUCAUUCUUACAAAAGGCCCAGUCAGAUCCUGGCUGUGUUGGCCCCAUUCAUUCAUUUCUUCAUUCAUCAAAGGUUGAUUGAGCAGCUCUGUGCUCUAAAGACUUCGAGGAUGGAAAAAUCAGCUCCGAUUGUAGCCUCUUCCUCCAGACGGGGCAAGAAGUGGGCUGCCAGCUUCCCAAACAAGUCAGGAAGGACUGAUGCUGGAUGGAACCCCCAGAAUCUAGGAUUUUUCACACUGUUAGAAACUGAAGCUGUCAUAUUCAUGUAUCAUUAUAAUAGCUCCUGAUUUUUGAGAGCUUACUCUGUCUUUGAGCAAAAGCUCUCACAUUUUGCUAUCUCUUGAAAUCCUCAUCAAAGUUCUCUGAGAGAGGGUCUGUAAUUGCCCAUUUUUACAGCUGAGGCUCAAAAAGAGGUCAAGUCACUUGCCCACAAUUUAGGGCUGCGAAAUAGCAAAGACGGGUUUUGAAUCCUGGGCUGGUAGGAAUCCAGAGCCCAGAGGCUUCUGUCUGUCUAGUCUUUCCUGCAGGGCAGUCCCACAGAACACGAAGAUGGAAAUGUUCUAUGUCUGUGCUAACAGAGGAGCCUCUAGCCACAUGUGGCUGUUGAGCACUGUCCAAGAAUUAUUUAAUCAGUUCCCCAAAUUUCAGAAUGAAAUGUGAAUAGUGGGAUUAAGGAACUAAAUGCUGAAUUUUAUUUAAUUUUAAUUAAAUUUAAAUACCUAUAUAUAGUAUCUCCCUUACUGGACAGUGCAACCUUAGAGUACAAUCCAGAAUUUGUCUUGAGGGGAGGUGAUCAGGGAUAUCUACAAAGGUUUUCUAGAAGGAGCCAUCUGUGCAACAUGAAUGGAGUGUUAGCACUUAAACCACCCACUCUGUGUGCCUGCUAAGAGCAUGGCACCAGAGGCCGCUGGGGAUGCCAGCAUGAUAUAAAAUUGUCCCACCUGCCCAGAUCUGACAAAUAAACUUCUCAGGUACAGAUGAUUGGUGACAGCAGGAAGCCUUAGAAAUGGAUGACUACUUCCUGAUAUAUAUCCGACAGUCAGACUCAAACACAAAGAUGCGAUGCAUUGUAGCCCUAUGCAAAAUAGAUUUGGGAGAAGAUUAAAAAUGAUCUGAAAGCUGGGGAACUGAUUAAAUAAUUCUUGUAUAGUUUGUAUGCCCAAGGAAAUGCUAUCAAAUCAUUAAAAAGAACAAGGUAGCUAUAUAUAUAUAUAUAUGUAUAUAUAUGCAUACAUAUAUAUUAUGUAUAUAGGGCUUCCUGGCUCAGUGAUUAAGAAUGCAAGAGAUGAGGGUUCUAUCCCUGUGUUGGGAAGAACCCCUGGAGAAGGAAAUGACAACCAACUUCAGUAUUUUUGCCUGGGAAAUCUCAUGGACAGAGGAGCCUGGCGGGCUAUAGUCCAUGGGGUCCCAAAAAGAGCUGGACAUGAUUUAGCAACCAAACAAUAACAAACUAUAGAUACUGAUGUAAAAUGAUUUCAUGAUAUCCUUACAUUAAAACAAAACAAGGUGCAGAAUAAUACCAAACUGUGAUGACCGCUUAUGUAAACCAAAGAGAAUAUAUCUAUAUCUACAGUUUUUUAUAUGUGCAAAAUUUUCUUUGGAAAGAAAUACAACUUUUAAAUGGGGGAAAGAACUGGAAAAGACAAAAAUACUUUUUCUUUG
ensembl:lncRNA